CACAAGCACCACAAACUCCCGCACAGGCACGAGGGCCAAUCCCAGACACUCUAGAAUCCAGACUGGAUGCAUUGUUCCAGGCAUUUUGGGACAAACUACAGACCCGUGCCACUGCCGACCAACCCAACCAGAGUACGGAAUGGGAGGCAGGAGAUACCCCUCCGGGCAAUAUACUUAUCAUAACGCCUCAUCGCAGCAACGGCUGCCUGCCCGGGCUGAUAGCCAACAGAGGCAUUGCCUCAAGACAUCGACCACACAGGGGAAAGAACGCAAGCCGCAG